rnacentral:rRNA from 1 species
UUCGAUUCCGGAGAGGGAGCCCGAGAAACGGCUACCACUUCCAAGGAAGGCAGCAGGCGCGCAACUUACCCUAAUCUCGAUUCGAGGAGGUAGUGACAAGAAAUACCGAUGCGGGACCCUACGGGUGCCGCGUUCGGAAUGAGUACGAUUCGAACCACCUAACGAGGAACGAUCGGAGGGCAAGUCUGGUGCCAGCAGCCGCGGUAAUUCCAGCUCCAAUAGCGUACGUUAAAGUUGCUGCAGUUAAAAAGCUCGUAGUUGAACGUUCGGGUUCCGCGGGACGGGGCCGCCCCGCGAGGGACGGCGCCGCCCCGGGGCUCGUGAUAUCUCAUCUCGCCGCCCGUCGCGAGGCGGACGGAGGGAUGGAUGAGGUUACCUGGAAAAAAUCGGGGCGAUCUAGGCGGGCG